rnacentral:rRNA from 1 species
UACGUAGGGUGCAAGCGUUGUCCGGAAUUAUUGGGCGUAAAGAGCUCGUAGGCGGUUCGGCAAGUCGGAUGUGAAAUCUCCACGCUUACGUGGAGGGGCCAUUCGAAACUGCUGUGACUCGAGUCCGGUAGGGGAGUGUGGAAUUCCCGGUGUAGCGGGUGAAAUGCGCAGAUAUCGGGAGGACGACCAGUAGCGAAGGCGGCACUCUGGGCCG